rnacentral:tRNA from 1 species
GCCAGCAUAGCUCAGUUGGUAGAGCGACGCUCUCGUAAAGCGUAGGUCAGCGGUUCGAUCCCGCUUGCUGGCUCCA